GGUUCAACAUAACCAUGUUCUCAAUAGCUCUGCUGCUGCUGUUGGCAGCUGGAUGUGUGAAGUGUGAGCAGUUGACGCAGCCGGCCUCUGUGACUGUGCAGCCCGGUCAACGUCUGACCAUCACCUGUCAGGUGUCUUAUGAUCUUAGCUACUACACAGCAUGGAUCAGACAACCUGCAGGGAAAGGACUGGAAUGGAUUGGAAUGAAACAUACUGCAGCGUCAUACUACAAAGAUUCACUGAAGAGCAAGUUUAGUAUCGACUUGGAUGCUUCCAGUAAAACAGUGACUCUAAACGGACAGAAUGUGCAGCCUGAAGACACGGCUGUGUAUUACUGUGCAAGAUACCCACAGUAACACAAACCAUCAGUACAACUGAACAAAAACCUCUCAGUGCCUGAACACUUGUUACACAAAGCCACCAGAGGAGGAGUCCUCAGACCACCAAUGAUUCAACACCAGCUCACUGU